GACGAACGCUGGCGGCGUGCUUAACACAUGCAAGUCGAACAGAAAGGCCCUGCUUUUGUGGGGUGCUCGAGUGGCGAACGGGUGAGUAACACGUGAGUAACCUGCCCUUGACUUUGGGAUAACUUCAGGAAACUGGGGCUAAUACCGGAUAGGAGUUCCUGCUGCAUGGUGGGGGUUGGAAAGUUUCGGCGGUUGGGGAUGGACUCGCGGCUUAUCAGCUUGUUGGUGGGGUAGUGGCUUACCAAGGCUUUGACGGGUAGCCGGCCUGAGAGGGUGACCGGCCACAUUGGGACUGAGAUACGGCCCAGACUCCUACGGGAGGCAGCAGUGGGGAAUAUUGCACAAUGGGCGGAAGCCUGAUGCAGCAACGCCGCGUGCGGGAUGACGGCCUUCGGGUUGUAAACCGCUUUCGCCUGUGACGAAGCGUGAGUGACGGUAAUGGGUAAAGAAGCACCGGCUAACUACGUG
rnacentral:rRNA from 1 species